CUCUGCUCGCCACUACCGCUGUCGCCACUCCUCCGAUCCCUAUCAUCUUCUCCUCGUAGGUUUUGUGAUAUGCAACUCCUUUUUUUCGGCUAUAAAUACUCCAAGGGUGGCUAUUUGAAAGACUGAUCUUCUUUCUUGCUCAAUUCUUCUUCCCAUUUUGAUCUAAGUUAUAGAGCGUUUCUUCAAACAGUCCGAUCAUCAAGCCUAAAGAUGACUUUCUCCUGGUGAAUUAUUGGUUUGCUCUCAUAAUUUCAAAUUGAGCAGUUCUAACUGUGCACAGGUGGUGUUCCAUUUGUUUGACAGUGGCUCUUAUGCCACAUGGAAUAGUCAAUGAAC